CAGUUGGAAACGACUGCUAAUACCGCAUAACACUUUAGUACCGCAUGGUACAGAAGUCAAAGCUUAAUGUGCUGAGAGAUGGUCUCGCGUCUGAUUAGCUAGUUGGUGAGGUAAACGGGCCCACCAAGGCGACGAUCAGUAGCCGGACUGAGAGGUUGACCGGCCACAUUGGGACUGAGAUACGGCCCAGACUCCUACGGGAGGCAGCAGUGGGGAAUAUUGGGCAAUGGACGCAAGUCUGACCCAGCAACGCCGCGUGAAGGAAGAAGGCUUUCGGGUUGUAAACUCUUUUGUCAGGGAAGAGCAGAAGACGGUACCUGACGAAUAAGCCACGGCUAACUACGUG
rnacentral:rRNA from 1 species